rnacentral:rRNA from 1 species
UACGAAGGGGGCUAGCGUUGCUCGGAUUUACUGGGCGUAAAGGGCGCGUAGGCGGACAGUUAAGUUGGGGGUGAAAGCCCGGGGCUCAACCUCGGAAUUGCCUUCAAUACUGGCUGUCUUGAGUGUGAGAGAGGUGUGUGGAACUCCGAGUGUAGAGGUGAAAUUCGUAGAUAUUGGGAAGAACACCGGUGGCGAAGGCGGCGAGCUGGUCCAUUACUGACGCUGAGGCGCGACAGCGUGGGGAGCAAACAGG